AAUGUCAGGAUAUUAAGUGUAACUGAGGUGUUUUUUAGUUUGGUUUUCUGGUAUUUGCUGUUGACGGUUACAGGUUGUUGUAAUUGUCUUUUAGUUACUGUGUCAGGCUUCUUUCAUGGUAUCAUCCCUUCUUCAUUUUUCAAACUCAAACUUUCUUCGAUCUACUUCCGCUUAUUUUUGAGAAAUCUACACAACCUAAAUAAUGUCGAUCGAUCAAAUUUUUGAUUCUCCUGAGAAUCAAACACAACACUCACCAAAAUUAUCAAAAUCAAACACACAUUCAAAUUCUACAUCUCAAAUCAACCUACAUUUACCGCAUCUUACAAAUUUUGUUUCGGUUAAACUUGAAGCUGAUGGAUCUAAUUACCUAAUCCGGAGAAAUCAGUUCGAAUUUAUCUUAAUCACCACUGAUCUCUUUGAUUAUGUUGAUGGAUCUAUUGAAGAACCUGUUCAGUUUGUCAAAAUUGAUGGUGAAAAGACUUUGAAUCCAGAGUAUUAUACUUGGCGAAAAUACAACCGGUUUGUAGUGUCCUAUAUCAAUGCAACUCUAUGAGAUCGUGUUUUUCGAAGUAUUGUUGGUUGUAAAACUGCUCGUGAAAUCUGUUUAUAUUUUGAGAAAUCUAUUCUUCUUCAAUUUUCAUCAUGCAAAUCACUUCUUCGUAGUCAACUUCACUCAGUUCGUAGAGGUAAUCGUUCCAUUUCAGAUUAUAUUGAUGAAAUUAGGUCUAUUUCUGAUUCUUUGGUUGCGAUUGAUCUUCCUGUGGAUGACUCUGAUCUUGCUAUGUAUACGCUUCAAGGCUUAGGAAAAGAGUAUAGUCAAUAUUUUGUUACUGCAAGUUACAGAGAAACUGAGUAUUUUUUUAGUGAUUUGUACUCUAAACUUAUACAUCAUGAGCAGUACUUGAAAACUGAGGAGUUAGAGUCGAAAUCUGUUUUAGAUGCUCAAAAUUCUGCGUUUUACACGAAUAAAUCAAACAAGUCUAAGAAGAAAUCUUAUGGAUCAUAGGAUAAUCUGAAUUUCCAUUCAUCUUCUGAUUCUGAUGUUGUUGUUUGUCAAAUUUGUAAGAUUCCUGGUCAUCUAGCUAAUCGUUGUAUAUGGCGUUAUACUCCAACUUCUAAGUAUGGUUCUAAAUUUUGGUUCCAAAUCUGGUGCUAAGCCUGCAAGUAAGAGUUUUUCUCAAACAGAUUUACCUUCUACUUUAACAUCUUCUUCAGAUACCUUGCAACAAGCUUUUCAUAGCAUUAAACUCAACUCUGCAUCUGCUUGUAAUGAUCCAAAUGUUUCUUCUUGAUGGAUUACUGAUUCUGGAGCUGCAAGUCACAUGACUAACUUUCAGUCUUGCCUUUCUAAUGCCAAGUCUUACACAGGACUGGGACAUUAAAGCAGUGCUUGCUGAAGGAUUUAUGAAAGACAACCUAUAUCCAUUAACUACUCUACAGGCUACUCAAAUUGUUGCUCAUACUGCUGUUACACGUAUAUCUGAUUUUUGGCAUGGAAAAUUAGGUCAUACUUCUUCAACAAUACUUCAUAAGGUGGCUUCUUCAGCUGGUUUUUCAAUCAACACUACUUCUUCUCAGUUAUGUACUCCUUGUCAGUUGGGUAAGCAUCAUAGGCUUCCUUUUUAUCAUUCAGACAGAGUGACAACUGAGCCUUUGCACUUAAUUCAUUCUGACCUAUGAGGACCUGCUCCUGUUGCUUUCUCAUUAGGGUUUAGAUAUUACAUCUUAUUCAUUGAUGAUUUUUCUAGGUUUCAUUGGUUUUAUCCUUUGAAAACAAAAGAUGAAAGUGUUGAUUGUUUUAAACAUUUCAAAAAUUAUGUCUGAAAAUUUGUUGAAUAAAAGUAUCAAGUUGUUUCAA